rnacentral:rRNA from 1 species
AAUUCCAUGUGUAGCGGUGAAAUGCGCAGAGAUAUGGAGGAACACCAGUGGCGAAGGCGACUUUCUGGUCUGUAACUGACGCUGAUGUGCGAAAGCGUGGGGAUCAAACAGGAUUAGAUACCCUGGUAGUCCACGCCGUAAACGAUGAGUGCUAAGUGUUAGGGGGUUUCCGCCCCUUAGUGCUGCAGCUAACGCAUUAAGCACUCCGCCUGGGGAGUACGACCGCAAGGGUGAAACUCAAAGGAAUUGACGGGGACCCGCACAAGCGGUGGAGCAUGUGGUUUAAUUCCAAGCAACGCGAAGAACCUUACCAAAUCUUGACAUCCUUUGAAAACUCUAUAGAUAGAGCUUUCCCCUUCGGGGGACAAAGUGACAGGUGGUGCAUGGUUGUCGUCAGCUCGUGUCGAGAGAUGUUGGGUUAAGUCCCGCAACGAGCGCAACCCUUAAGCUUACUUGCCAUCAUUAAGUUGGGCACUCUAGGUUGACUGCCGGUGACAAACCGGAGGAAGGUGGGGAUGACGUCAAAUCAUCAUGCCCCUUAUGAUUUGGGCUACACACGUGCUACAAUGGACAAUACAAAGGGCAGCUACACCGCGAGGUCAUGCAAAUCCCAUAAAGUUGUUCUCAGUUCAGAUUGUAGUCUGCAACUCGACUACAUGAAGCUGGAAUCGCUAGUAAUCGAUAUCAGCAUGCUACGGUGAAUACGUUCCCGGGUCUUGUACACACCGCCCGUCACACCACGAGAGUUGUAACACUCGAAGCCGGUGCAGUAACCAUUUA